rnacentral:rRNA from 1 species
CGGCCGCGUCGACGCAGAAGAAGCGCCGGCUAACUACGUGCCAGCAGCCUCGGUAAUACGUAGGGCGCAAGCGUUAUCCGGAAUUAUUGGGCGUAAAGAGCUCGUAGGCGGUUUGUCGCGUCUAUCGUGAAAGUCCGAGGCUCAACUUCGGAUCUGCGGUGGGUACGGGCAGACUAGAGUGAUGUAGGGGAGACUGGAAUUCCUGGUGUAGCGGUGAAAUGCGCAGAUAUCAGGAGGAACACCGAUGGCGAAGGCAGGUCUCUGGGCAUUAACUGACGCUGAGGAGCGAAAGCAUGGGGAGCGAACAGGAUUAGAUACCCUGGUAGUCCAUGCCGUAAACGAUGGAUACUAGGUGUGGGGGUCUGACCCCCUCCGUGCCGCAGUUAACACAAUAAGUAUCCCACCUGGGGAUACGAUCGCAAGGUUGAAACUCAAAGGAAUUGACGGGGCCCGCACAAGCGGUGAGUAUAGUCGUGGAGG